UACAGAGGUCCCAAGCGUUGUUCGGAUUCACUGGGCGUAAAGGGUGCGUAGGUGGUCGGGUAAGUCCGAUGUGAAAUCCCGGAGCUCAACUCUGGAACUGCAUUGGAUACUAUUUGACUAGAGGGUUGGAGGGGGGACUGGAAUUCUCGGUGUAGCAGUGAAAUGCGUAGAUAUCGAGAGGAACACCGGUGGCGAAGGCGAGUCCCUGGACAACUCCUGACGCUGAGGCACGAAAGCUAGGGGAGCAAACAGG
rnacentral:rRNA from 1 species